rnacentral:snRNA from 1 species
AACUUUGCGCCGUGCCAAUAUCAUAGCCAAGGAGGUUUAUCCAAGGCGCGAUUAUUGCCAAUUGAAAAAGUAAAAGUUAAUGAAG